AUUGAACGCUGGCGGCAGGCCUAACACAUGCAAGUCGAGCGGAUGAAGGGAGCUUGCUCCUGGAUUCAGCUGCGGACGGGUGGGUAAUGCCUAGGAAUCUGCCUGGUCGUGGGGGAUAACGUCCGGAAACGGGCGCUAAUACCGCAUACGUCCUGAGGGAGAAAGGGGGGGAUCUUCGGACCUCACGCUAUCAGAUGAGCCUAGGUCGGAUUAGCUAGUUGGUGGGGUAAAGGCUUACCAAGGCGACGAUCCGUAACUGGCCUGAGAGGAUGAUCAGUCACACUGGAACUGAGACACGGUCCAGACUCCUACGGGAGGCAGCAGUGGGGAAUAUUGGACAAUGGGCGAAAGCCUGAUCCAGCAAUGCCGCGUGUGUGAAGAAGGUCUUCGGAUUGUAAAGCACUGUUAGUUGGGAGGAAGGGCAGUAAGUUAAUACCUUGCUGUUUUGACGUUACCAACAGAAUAAGCACCGGCUAACUUCGUG
rnacentral:rRNA from 1 species